rnacentral:misc_RNA from 1 species
UCUCCGUUGGUGAACCAGCGGAGGGAUCAUUACAGGACUCGCAAGACUCCUACAACCCUGUGAACUUAACUAUAAGCACGUUGCUUCGGCGGGUGUCUCGGAGGGGGUUCUCCCUCCCCGAGACGCUAAACCCACCGGCAGCCUACUAUACUCUGUCUCUUUGCGUUGGCAUCUCGAGUACAAUCAAACAAGUUAAAGCUUUCAACAACGGAUCUCUUGGUUCUG